rnacentral:rRNA from 1 species
UACGUAGGGUGCAAGCGUUAAUCGGAAUUACUGGGCGUAAAGCGUGCGCAGGCGGUUGUGCAAGACAGAUGUGAAAUCCCCGGGCUCAACCUGGGAACUGCAUUUGUGACUGCACAGCUUGAGUGCGGCAGAGGGGGAUGGAAUUCCGCGUGUAGCAGUGAAAUGCGUAGAUAUCAGGAGGAACACCGAUGGCGAAGGCAGGUCUCUGGGCUGACACUGACGCUCAUGCACGAAAGCGUGGGGAGCAAACAGG